CUUCCCUUUGUCGGACCAAAGAAGUAAACACUGUGUGGAGAGGGACUGACGUGUUUGGAGGGAAAUGGGAAUGUACACGAUAAUUAAAGAGUAAAGUUGUGCUCAACGCUGUUUACUUCUAAUUAUUUCCUGAUUCACAAAUUAAUUUUUGCAAUUCACAACUUCAAGAAUACUUGGACUAUUGGAUUCAAUCCAUAGUAAUCUGCAAAAGAAGAGAAGCAGAAUUAUACCUAGAAGUCUACUAAUGGACAGUUAGUCACCCACCUACAUGUUGAGAUUCCUGACAUUCAGACAACUGACUUGUAACUGACUUAUAACUGACUUGUAAUACACUGCUACUAUAUCAAACCGACAAUGAAUUGGAAUGAAAAACCAAAGAGUGCUACAUUACCACCACUGUAUCCUAAAAGCCAGCCACCUUUUUUGCACCAGUCUUUAAUAAACCAAAUUACCACAACAUCUCAGAGUUCUUUCAGCUAUCCUGGAAGUAACCAAGAAGCAUGCAUGUAUCCCGGUAAUUCAAAUCCAAUUUCACAGCCACUGCUGAAUAUCCAAAAUUAUCCUCAACAAAUUUCUGUUUCUGAUAUGCAUAAUGGGACAGUUGUGGCCUCACACACUUCAGUAGAAAGAAUAACAUAUGCAAAUGUUAAUGGACCCAAACAACUAACUCACAAUUUGCAGAUGUCUUCAGGAGUUACCCAAAACGUAUGGUUGAACUCACCAAUGAGGAAUCCUGUGCAUUCUCAUAUAGGGGCAACUGUAUCUCAUCAAACUGAUUUUGGAGCUAACGUACCCAAUAUGCCGGCACUACAGAGUCAACUGAUAACAUCAGAUACCUAUUCUAUGCAAAUGCAGAUGAUCCCUUCUAAUUCUACACGACUUCCUGUAGCUUACCAAGGAAAUCAGGGACUUAACCAGUCUUUUUCAGAGCAACAGGUUGAUUGGACACAACAGUGUAUAUCUAAGGGACUGACUUACCCAGAUUACAGACCACCUCCAAAGCUAUACCGUUACUCACCACAAAGCUUUUUACCAGAUUCUACCAUUCAAAAACAAAACUUUAUACCACAUACAUCAUUGCAAGUUAAAAAUAGUCAGCUUCUAAAUUCUGUAUUAACUUUACCAUCAAGGCAGACCUCAGCUGUACCAUCACAGCAGUAUGCCACGCAAACUGAC
rnacentral:lncRNA from 1 species